rnacentral:rRNA from 1 species
UUAGGAAUCUUCCACAACGGGCGACAGCCUGAUGGAGCGACGCCGCGUGAGGGAUGAAGGCCUUAGGGUUGUAAACCUCUAAAAGAGGGACGAUAAUGACGGUACCUCUUGAAUAGCACCGGCUAACUCCGUGCCAGCAGCCGCGGUAAUACGGAGGGUGCAAGCGUUAUCCGGAAUCACUGGGCGUAAAGGGCGCGUAGGCGGUCUGUUAAGUCCGAUGUUAAAUCCCGGGGCUCAACCCCGGAUAAGCGUUGGAUACUGGCAGGCUAGACGGUUGGAGAGGCGAGUGGAAUUACCAGUGUAGCGGUGGAAUGCGUAGAUACUGGUAGGAACACCCAUUGCGAAGGCAGCUCGCUGGACAACACGUGACGCUGAGGCGCGAAAGUGUGGGGAGCAAA